AAUCGUAAUACGAGUCGACGUUCACUGA
rnacentral:sRNA from 1 species